CGAAAGCCUGACGGAGCAACGCCGCGUGAGGGAUGGAGGCCUUUGGGCUGUAAACCUCUUUUCUCAAGGAAGAAGAUCUGACGGUACUUGAGGAAUAAGCCACGGCUAAUUCCGUGCCAGCAGCCGCGGUAAUACGGGAGUGGCAAGCGUUAUCCGGGAUUAUUGGGCGUAAAGCGUCCGCAGGCGGCCGUUUAAGUCUGUUGUUAAAUCGUGGAGCUCAACUCCAUCACGGCAAUGGAAACUGUUCGGCUUGAGUAUGGUAGGGGCAGAGGGAAUUUCCGGUGUAGCGGUGAAAUGCGUAGAUAUCGGGAAGAACACCAGUGGCGAAAGCGCUCUGCUGGGCCAUUACUGACGCUCAAGGACGAAAGCCAGGGGAGCGAAAGGGAUUAGAUACCCCUGUAGUCCUGGCCGUAAACGAUGAACACUAGAUGUUGGGGGAAUCGACCCCCUCGGUGUCGUAGCUAACGCGUUAAGUGUUCCGCCUGGGGAGUACGCACGCAAGUGUAAAACUCAAAGGAAUUGACGGGGGCCCGCACAAGCGGUGGAGUAUGUGGUUUAAUUCGAUGCAACGCGAAGAACCUUACCAAGGCUUGACAUCCUGCGAAUCUCUAAGAAAUUAGAGAGUGCCUUCGGGAACGCAGUGACAGGUGGUGCAUGGCUGUCGUCAGCUCGUGUCGUGAGAUGUUGGGUUAAGUCCCGCAACGAGCGCAACCCACGUUUUUAGUUGCCAGCAUUCAGUUGGGCACUCUAGAAAGACUGCCGGUGACAAACCGGAGGAAGGUGUGGACGACGUCAAGUCAUCAUGCCCCUUACGCCUUGGGCUACACACGUACUACAAUGCUGCGGACAAAGAGUAGCGAUCUUGCGAAAGUUAGCUAAUCUCAUAAACCGUGGCUCAGUUCAGAUCGUAGGCUGCAACUCGCCUACGUGAAGGAGGAAUCGCUAGUAAUCACAGGUCAGCAUACUGCGGUGAAUACGUUCCCGGGCCUUGUACACACCGCCCGUCACACCAUGGAAGUUGGCCAUGCCCGAAGUCGUUACUCUAACCUUUUGGAAGAGGGCGCCGAAGGCAGGGCUAAUGACUGGGGUGAAGUCGUAACAAGGUAGCCGUAGCGGAAGCUGCGGCUGGAUCACCUCCUAA
rnacentral:rRNA from 1 species